AUCAUCGGUUCCUCUCUCAGCUACCACAAAUUUUUUUUUUCUAUUCCCUUCUCCAAUCCAGAUUUCUCUACAACCCAUAUGCACUUUCUUUUCCUUUCCAAUUUUUCACUCUUUGUUUUGAUCCAAAAUGCAUUCCUCCGUGCUUCUUUUUUUCGAUCCAACCUUCUCUGCAUCCCUUCCCCAAUGCUAAACCUUCUGCCCCCCAACCCUAACCCAAGCUCAAAUCCCAAUGCUAACCCUCAAUAAAACCCAAUCCCGACUGUAACCCUAAACUGGCCCUAACCCUCAACAAAAUCUUACACUAACUCUAAACCUGAAGAGAACCUAACCCUAACCCUAACCCCAACCCCAACCCUAAUCAUAAUCGUAACCAACCCCCAGACCCUAGCCUUAGCCAAAUAACUAACCCUAACC
rnacentral:lncRNA from 1 species